GGGGCUGUAGCUCAGCUGGGAGAGCGUCUGGUUCGCAAUCAGAAGGUCGUGGGUUCGAUCCCCAUCAGCUCCA
rnacentral:tRNA from 1 species